rnacentral:rRNA from 1 species
UACGUAGGGUGCGAGCGUUGCCCGGAUUUAUUGGGCGUAAAGGGCGCGUAGGCGGCCACGCACGUCCGUUGUGAAAUCGCCCGGCUCAACUGGGCGGGGUCGGCGGAUACGGCGUGGCUGGAGCAAGCUAGGGGGCAAUGGAAUUCCCGGUGUAGUUGUGGAAUGCGCAGAUAUCGGGAGGAACACCAGUGGCGAAGGCGGUUGCCUGGAGCUUUGCUGACGCUGAGGCGCGAAAGCGUGGGGAGCGAUCCGG